GGACUACCAGGGUUUCUAAUCCUGUUUGCUACCCACGCUUUCGUGUCUCAGCGUCAGAAGUGGUCCAGUAAGCUGUCUACACCACAGGUGUUCCUCCUGAUAUCUACGCAUUUCACCGCUACACCAGGAAUUCCGCUUACCUCUCCCACCCUCUAGCACACUAGUUUCCGCCGCACCCUCCCAGUUAAGCCGGGAGAUUUCACAACAGACUUAGAGCACCGCCUACACACUCUUUACGCCCAGUAAUUCCGAACAACGCUUGCUGCCUACGUAUUACCGCGGCUGCUGGCAC
rnacentral:rRNA from 1 species